rnacentral:misc_RNA from 1 species
GGCGGUUCGCGGGUGCGCCCUGCGCAGCGUUGCUGCGAGGGGUACCGUUGACCGGGGAAGCGUUCGGGUCGGCGGGGGGACCGCCACGGCCAGCUGCAGGAGGGGCACGGGGGGCGCGAGGGUAGCCGGGCACUCCGUAAGCCUGAGGAGGGGCCUGUCCGUACGGAGCGGGAAUGGGCAUGCCCGGAACCUGGUUAUUCGGAGCGUAACGAGGACGAGGG